rnacentral:rRNA from 1 species
UACGUAGGGUGCAGGCGUUAAUCGGAAUUACUGGGCGUAAAGCGUGCGCAGGCGGUCUUUUAAGUCAGAUGUGAAAUCCCCGGGCUUAACCUGGGAACUGCGUUUGAAACUGGAAGGCUAGAGUGUGGCAGAGGGGGGUGGAAUUCCACGUGUAGCAGUGAAAUGCGUAGAUAUGUGGAGGAACACCGAUGGCGAAGGCAGCCCCCUGGGCUAACACUGACGCUCAGGCACGAAAGCGUGGGGAGCAAACAGG